UGUUUUUUGGCGGGAAAAUUACGAGUUAACGUUUUUGGCGGGAAAAUUACGAAUUUACGUUUUUGGCGGGAAAAUCACGGGUUUACGUUUUUGGCGGGAAAAUCACAGGAUUUACAUUUUUGGCGGGAAAAUCUUGGGUUUACGUUUUUGGCGAGAAAAUCUUGGGUUUACGUUUUUUGCAGGAAAAUCACGGGUUUACUUUUUUGGCGGGAAAAUCACGGGUUUAUGUUUUUUGGUGGAAAAAUUACGAGUUUACUUUUUCUCAAUUUCAUCGAUUGUAUAUUUAAGAAAUUUGGAAAAAUAUUAAUUUUAUUAAAUUGGUUUAGAUGUGUUGGUUAAACUUAAAUUGACAUUGGUUUAGAGAUUUUAGUUGGUUUAAUUCAAUUUUACAAAACUUAUUGGGUUAAUUGGGUAAACCAUUAAAACCAUUAACCAUUACAACCCAACUCAUUUUACUCAUCAAACCAAUUGACUCAUCAACUCAUUUGACCCAUCAACUCAUUUGAGUCAAAAAUUUUAACUCAUUAGGGUUCAUGGAUUGAGUUGAGUUGAGUUGACCAUGAAUUUUGACCCAUUUUGACACCCCUAGUUUAGAGUUAUAGAAAACUGUAAAACACUAAAAAUAAUACAUUUAUAAUCAACAUUUAAUAUGUUUUCUUAAUAUGUGUGUUUUUCUAAACAAUCAAACAAAAAUGAACGGAGGAAGUACUAAUUAAGUAAUUAGUGAGAAACUGUAUUAACCGUUCACUAGUUAAGCUCAUAAAACUAAUUCUCAUU
rnacentral:sRNA from 1 species